rnacentral:rRNA from 1 species
UUCGCCCAUUAAAGCGGUACGCGAGCUGGGUUUAGAACGUCGUGAGACAGUUCGGUCCCUAUCCGCCGCGCGCGCAGGAGACUUGAGGAAGGCUGUCCCUAGUACGAGAGGACCGGGACGGACGAACCUCUGGUGUGCCAGUUGUCCCGCCAGGGGCAUGGCUGGUUGGCUAUGUUCGGAAGGGAUAACCGCUGAAGGCAUCUAAGCGGGAAGCUCGUUCCAAGAUGAGGUCUCCCACCACCUUGCGUGGUUAAGGCCCCCCACAGACCAUGGGGUUGAUAGGCCAGAGAUGGAAGCCCUGUGAGGGGUGGAGUUGACUGGUACUAAUAGGCCGAGGGCUUGAUUACA